rnacentral:rRNA from 1 species
UGCACCUGGUGGCGAGUGGCGAACGGGUGAGUAAUACAUCGGAACGUACCUUAUCGUGGGGGAUAACGCAGCGAAAGCUGUGCUAAUACCGCAUACGCCCUGAGGGGGAAAGCGGGGGAUCGAAAGACCUCGCGCGAUUAGAGCGGCCGAUGCCUGAUUAGCUUGUUGGUGGGGUAAAAGCCCACCAAGGCGACGAUCAGUAGCUGGUCUGAGAGGACGAUCAGCCACACUGGGACUGAGACACGGCCCAGACUCCUACGGGAGGCAGCAGUGGGGAAUUUUGGACAAUGGGGGAAACCCUGAUCCAGCAAUGCCGCGUGAGUGAAGAAGGCCUUCGGGUUGUAAAGCUCUUUUGUCAGGGAAGAAACACCGGCUCUAACACAGUCCGGGAAUGACGGUACCUGAAGAAUAAGCACCGGCUAACUACGUGCCAGCAGCCGCGGUAAUACGUAGGGUGCGAGCGUUAAUCGGAAUUACUGGGCGUAUAGCGUGCGCAGGCGGUUAUACAAGACAGGCGUGAAAUCCCCGGGCUUAACCUGGGAAUGGCGCCUGUGACUGUAUAGCUAGAGUGUGUCAGAGGGGGGUAGAAUUCCACGUGUAGCAGUGAAAUGCGUAGAUAUGUGGAGGAAUACCAAUGGCGAAGGCAGCCCCCUGGGAUAACACUGACGCUCAUGCACGAAAGCGUGGGGAGCAAACAGGA